UUUCUCUUUUUUUUUUUUUUUUCUUUUGGUUUUUGAGGGAUGCCUGUAUUAUCAACGAUGAAAGAGUUCUCUGUGGAGGAAGCCAACACGUUUGCCAGCGAAUUUUUAUUUACUCGAGUUUUGGGUUGGGGUCGACAUGGUAAAGUGUUUGAAGGAAAAUGUAAGAAAAAUGGAGACAAAAGAGCGUUGAAAGUUAUCAAAUC
rnacentral:ribozyme from 13 species